rnacentral:misc_RNA from 1 species
GAUGAAGAACGCAGUGAAAUGCGAUAAGUAAUGUGAAUUGCAGAAUUCAGUGAAUCAUCGAAUCUUUGAACGCACCUUGCGCUCUUUGGUAUUCCGAAGAGCAUGCCUGUUUGAGUGUCAUGAAAAUAUCAACCUUGACUUGGGUUUUGUGCUCUAGUCUCGGCUUGGAAUUGGGUGCUUGCCGCUUUUACGAGCGGCUCACCUUAAAUGUAUUAGCUGGAUCUGUCUUUGAGACUUGGUUUGACUUGGCGUAAUAAGUAUUUCGCUAAGGACAUUCUUCGGAGUGGCCUCGUUUCUAGGACGCUUGUCCGCUUUCCAAUACAAGUUCCACCUCGUGGACAUGACUUUUUAUUAUCUGGCCUCAAAUCAGGUAGGACUACCCGCUGAACUUAAGCAUAUCAAUAAGCGGGGA